AUUGAACGCUGGCGGCCCGCCUACCACAUGCAAGUCGAACGCGUGGCGGACGGGUGCGUAACGUCUGGGAAACUGCCUGAUGGAGGGGGAUACCUACUGGCAACGGUCGCUAAUACCGCAUACCCUCUGAUGUGCCCAGCUGGGAUUAGCUAGUGGGUGGGUUAAAGGCUCACCUCGGCGACGAUCCCUAGCUGGUCUGAGAGGAUGACCAGCCACACUGGAACGGAGACACGGGCCAGACUCCUACGGGAGGCAGCAGUGGGGAAUAUUGCACAAUGGGCGCAAGCCUGAUGCAGCCAUGCCGCGUGUAUGAAGAAGGCCUUCGGGUUGUAAAGUACUUUCAGCGGGGAGGCGUUACCCGCACAAGAAGCACCGGCUAACUCCGUGCCAGCAGCCGCGGUAAUAC
rnacentral:rRNA from 1 species